rnacentral:lncRNA from 1 species
ACACCAGAAGUUGGCAGACCCCGACACUCAGCCCGAAAUGAGGCUCAAGGGUGCCCCUGUUAGUGACAAAGCUGCGACUGUUCAUUCUUCGCACUGAUUACUUACAAUAAUUACAAUUUUCAGUGGUUACCAAGUCCUUUAUCAACUUUGGGAAGCGUUCAAGGUUUGCUUCUCAUUUCCAGACACGUGAGCAAGGAGUGACCAGGUCCUCUAAGCCUGGCAGCCGAAGCCGAAUCAAGCCUCGCCUGCGUGACCAAACCGGGUCUUUCUGCUCAGGGACCCCGCAAGGUGGGACUCGCUUUGUUUCUCAUUUUAACAGCCCCUCCCCACGUCUGGGCCCUUCUCUCAGCAGGCUCAGGGCAUGACCAGCCUUCGUAGCAUCCUCCUCCUCCUCGACGUGCUGGGUGCAGUCAGGCGGCAGGAUCACACACUUGCUGUUUCCAUUAGUUCAGUCAUAUGUAAUGCACUACAAAGGUCAAUAUGAUUAUAGGGAAAACAACAGGCAAGGAUUGAAAACUUCCCCAGAGCAGAGCUACCCGGGAGCCAAGGUUUCACCAACCAAAUAAAUCCCAAUGGCUUAUAAUCAGAUUCAGGUUUCACCUAAGUCGAUCUACAAAAGAACUUUUAAGGUUAUUUACACAGGCACAACAUGAUGUAUCAGCAAACACGUAACCUCGUGAUGGCCAAGGAUGAACUUGAGGUUGUGUUUCAGGAGGCGGGCUUCCACCUGAAUCAGGCUUCCAUACAAUGGUGGUUGUUCUUGUACUGGCCUUUUCAGCUGGCCACGCAGACUCUUCCAUGGCUCAAGAGUGGUGGCUUUCAAACACGUUGGAUCAUUCCACAGCAAGAAAGAGAGUGUAUAUUCCGGCCCAGACCAUACUUACACAUAUAAAACCACCUAAAAUAAAAGCUUAAUGAACUGGGGCACCUGGGUGGCUCUGUCGGUUGGGCAUCUGCCUUCCUCUCGGGUCAUGACCUCAGGCCCGGGGUCCCAGGGUCCUGGGAUCGAGCCCCAUAUCGGGCUCCCUGCUCAUUAGGGGAGCCUGCUUCUCCCUCUGCCUCUGCCUCUGCUUGUGCUGUCUCACUCACUCUCAAGUAAAUAAAUAAAAUAUUUUAAAAAAACGCUUAAUGAACCAACACGUAUUUCCCAUUUUGAGUAUGAUAUGCAUUCACUCUUUUGCACUUUAUGAAAUUACCUUUUUCUUUACAUACG